rnacentral:rRNA from 1 species
AACGAACGCUGGCGGCAGGCCUAAUACAUGCAAGUCGAACGCACCGCAAGGUGAGUGGCAGACGGGUGAGUAACGCGUGGGAACCUUCCUAGUAGUACGGAAUAACUCCGGGAAACCGGUGCUAAUACCGUAUAAGCCCUCCGGGGGAAGGAUUUAUCGCUACUAGAUGGGCCCGCGUCGGAUUAGCUUGUUGGUGAGGUAAUGGCUCACCAAGGCUUCGAUCCGUAGCUGGUCUGAGAGGAUGAUCAGCCACACUGGGACUGAGACACGGCCCAGACUCCUACGGGAGGCAGCAGUAGGGAAUAUUGGACAAUGGGCGAAAGCCUGAUCCAGCCAUGCCGCGUGAGUGAAGAAGGCCUUAGGGUUGUAAAGC